rnacentral:tRNA from 1 species
GGGCUCGUCGUCUAGCUUGGUUAGGACACCGCUCUGAGCGGGGGUCGUGGGUUCAAGUCCCUCCGAGCCCA